UGUAAGCGUAUACCAAAGUUGUUGCAGUUAAAACGCUCGUAGUCGGAAUUUGGCAGUUCCGGAUGUGUGCACGUCGUGUGCGCACUUCGCGGGGAUUGCUUUUGUGGUCUUGCGUAGGAUGAGUCACUUUUAUUAGUGAACGUCCUCACGCAACCACUUUUUACUGUGAGAAAAUCAGAGUGCUCAAAGCAGGCAUUUGCCGUGAAUGUAUUAGCAUGGAAUAAUAGAAUAGGACUUGGUUCUAUUUUGUUGGUUUGUUGGGACUGAGUAAUGAUUAAGAGGGACAGUUGGGGGCAUUUGUAUUUCGGUGCUAGAGGUGAAAUUCUUAGAUUACCGAAAGACAAACUGCUGCGAAAGCGUCUGCCAAGGAUGUUUUCAUUGA
rnacentral:rRNA from 1 species